UCUCUGGUGGUCCAGUAGAUAGGAUUUGGCACUUUCACUGCUAUGGCCUGGGUUCAAUCCCUGGUCUUAGAA
rnacentral:tRNA from 1 species